rnacentral:misc_RNA from 1 species
UAAUGGCCUCCGAAUAGCUGC